rnacentral:lncRNA from 1 species
AUCAUGUCAAUUUAAACCCUAAUUACACUAUUAAUCAAUAUGGGGUAAAUAAGUCAAUCGAUAUUAAACCUAACUCUAGUUAAUUAAUUAAUCAUUUGAGUUAAGGGUUUAAGUCAAAGUUAAAAGUCAAAUUGGGAGAAUUGCAUUUUCACCUUGAAUAUUAUUAUUUGAAAUAAUUGCAUUUUCACCUUGAAUAUUAUUAUUUGGAAUAAUUGCAUUUUUACCUUGAAUAUUAUUAUUAUUAUCUUUUGACACUCUAUUCAAGGUAUAAUAUUCCAAGGGGACAAAACACUAUUCAAGUUUGAAUUUAUACAAAGAUAAGAUUCUCCAACAAACUCUAUCCAAGAAAAACACUAUUCAAGAUAAGAUCAAAGACAAAGCUUGGAUUUAUGUGAGAAAUCAAGGAGCCAUCCAUUGAAGAUCCAAGGGUGGACAUUGAGUGGCCAAGGCUAUAAAUAGAAGGGUAAUCCCCUCAUUUUCACUCACCACACUACAAGCAAACUCAAGAGCUUUCACUCCACAUGCACUUGCCCACACGUUUUUGCCUCCAAGCUUCCAAGCUUUCAAGUGCUCAAGUGUCCUAGCUUUCCAAAGCUUCAAAAGCUCUCCAACUUCUUCUUCUAAUCUUCUUGUUUAUCUUUACAAGUAAGAAGUGUUGUUUGCUUUAAUAUUCCACUCCUCUAAUCACCUCUUGUGUGUGUCCACUUUGGUUGAGAGGGUUGUCUCAAUAGUACCAAAGUGUUAGAGAAGGUUUGUGAGCUCAACCAUAAAGCUCUAGUUUGGUUUUAUAGAGUUUCCG